rnacentral:tRNA from 2 species
GGCGAGAUAGCUCAGUUGGUAGAGCACACGACUGAAAAUCGUGGUGUCCCCAGUUCGAGUCUGGGUCUCGCCA